rnacentral:rRNA from 2 species
GGCCUCAAAUCAGACAAGAGUACCCGCUGAACUUAAGCAUAUCAAUAAGCGGAGGA